CACACCGCCCGUCACACCAUGAGAGCUGUUUGUACCCAAAAUCAUCUUAGCCAACCUGUAAAGGAGGCGGGUGCCUAAGGUAUGUAUGGUAAUUGGGGUG
rnacentral:rRNA from 1 species